GACAUCACAGAAGGUUACCAGGUUGGUUGGUUGUGAUUUCGCCUAGGUGAAUCCAUGUUGACUACUCCUGAUAACCUUCGUUUCUUCCACUUGCUUGGAGAUGACAUCCAGAACAAGUUACUCCAGCCCCUUUCCAGGAAUGUGGUGAAAGAAGUUUAAACUAUGCCAUGAAGAACCAUCAUUUGCCACUUGAUCCAAAUGAAUGCUGAAUGUAAACAGCGAAACUUAAUAUUCAACAUUCACCCUAUUUUGGAGCAGCAGAAGCACCUCAUUAAAAAAAUUUCUGACA